rnacentral:rRNA from 1 species
AUUGAACGCUGGCGGCAGGCCUAACACAUGCAAGUCGAACGGUAACAGGAAGAAUCUUGCUUCUUUGCUGACGAGUGGCGGACGGGUGAGUAAUGUCUGGGAAACUGCCUGAUGGAGGGGGAUAACUACUGGAAACGGUAGCUAAUACCGCAUAACGUCGCAAGACCAAAGAGGGGGACCUUCGGGCCUCUUGCCAUCGGAUGUGCCCAGAUGGGAUUAGCUAGUAGGUGGGGUAACGGCUCACCUAGGCGACGAUCCCUAGCUGGUCUGAGAGGAUGACCAGCGACACUGGAACUGAGACACGGUCCAGACUCCUACGGGAGGCAGCAGUGGGGAAUAGUGCACAAUGGGCGCAAGCCUGAUGCAGCCAUGCCGCGUGUAUGAAGAAGGCCUUCGGGUUGUAAAGUACUUUCAGCGGGGAGGAAGGGAGUAAAGUUAAUACCUUUGCUCAUUGACGUUACCCGCAGAAGAAGCACCGGCUAACUCCGUG